UACGUAGGUGACAAGCGUUGUCCGGAUUUACUGGGCGUAAAGAGCGCGCAGGCGGUCGUUCAAGUCGAGUGUGAAAGCCCCCGGCUCAACUGGGGAGGGUCAUUCGAUACUGAUCGACUCGAAGGCAGGAGAGGGUAGUGGAAUUCCCGGUGUAGUGGUGAAAUGCGUAGAUAUCAGGAGGAACACCGGUGGCGAAGGCGGGUCUCUGGGCCGUAACUGACGCUGAGGAGCGAAAGCAUGGGGAGCGAACAGG
rnacentral:rRNA from 1 species